rnacentral:rRNA from 1 species
AUACGUAGGGGGCGAGCGUUGUCCGGAGUUAUUGGGCGUAAAGGGCGUGUAGGCGGCCUGUUAAGUCAGGUGUGAAAUUUCAGGGCUCAACCCUGAAACUGCGUUUGAAACUGGCAGGCUUGAGGACAGGAGAGGGAAGUGGAAUUCCCGGUGUAGCGGUGGAAUGCGUAGAUAUCGGGAGGAACACCAGUGGCGAAGGCGGCUUCCUGGACUGUACCUGACGCUGAGGCGCGAAGGCUAGGGGAGCAAACGGGAUUAGAUACCCUGGUAGUCCUAGCCGUAAACGAUGAGUGCUAGGUGUGGGAGGUUGAAAUCCUUCCGUGCCGGAGUUAACGCAAUAAGUAUUCCACCUGGGGAGUACGGCCGCAAGGUUGAA